AUACAUAUAUACGUUAUUUCUUAUCUUCUAGCCACAUACUCUUAGCCAUUGUAUCCUAAGUAUGUGGUUAACAGCUGCCUACUUAGAUAAGAAUCUCACUUCCCUCUCUUGCGCCUCCCAUUGACUAUAAAUAAAGAAGCCAAGGGGAACCACCCUUUGUAGCACACUCUGCUGAGAGUGUGGGUACCCUUGUGCAAGUAAAACUGUAAAGUGUGUGUCUCGUAAAUGUGGAGUUGGGGUGGAAACGCCGGGCGCUUUCCCCAACAAUCACAUAAGUUAGCCCCGCCCCAUUCCCCAGUCUGCAGUUAGGUGUACUUACUGGGUGGGCUUACACCCCAGCAAAAAGAGGAAGCCCCCAUCUUUAAAUAAGUCCGCUUCCACACCGCGCACAGACGGCGCCUCCGAAGGCUUCAUGACAAUGACCUGCAUCCACAUCCUCGCCGGUGUCCUCAUCCUCAGCGCUUUGGCGGAAUCAGCCAUCGUGGACCGCUGGGAGUACCGCGAGCUGUACAUUCAGAAGUUCAACGAGACUGCCGAGGACCUUCAGGAGCUGGAGGAGGAGCU